AUUGAACGCUGGCGGCAGGCUUAACACAUGCAAGUCGAGCGGGGACUUCAGUCCUAGCGGCGAACGGGUGAGGAAUGCUUGGGAAUCUGCCCAGGAGUGGGGGAUAACGUUUCGAAAGGAACGCUAAUACCGAAUACGUCCUACGGGAGAAAGGGGGGGAUCUUCGGACCUCUCGCUAUUGGAUGAGCCCAAGUCGGAUUAGCUAGUUGGUGAGGUAAAGACUCACCAAGGCGACGAUCCGUAGCUGGUUUGAGAGGAUGAUCAGCCACACUGGAGCUGAGACACGGUCCAGACUCCUACGGGAGGCAGCAGUGGGGAAUAUUGGACAAUGGGCGAAAGCCUGAUCCAGCCAUGCCGCGUGUGUGAAGAAGGCCUUCGGGUUGUAAAGCACUUUAAGCGAGGAGGAAUGGCUCUUGGUUAAUAACCUUGAGCAGUGACGUUACUCGCAGAAUAAGCACCGGCUAACUCUGUGCCAGCCGCCGCAGUAACAC
rnacentral:rRNA from 1 species